AUAAAAACUGACGAACCCAAUAUUCCUCAAAUGUUUUAAGGUGUUAGUCAAGUUUAAUAUCUGAAAGUUAUUUAUAAUACGACCCUUUUUUGACGUCGUGCAAAAUAUACAAAAAUUGGCUAAAGCUGGAGUUACACGAGCAACAAAAUUGCUGCAACUUGCAACAAAAUCUGAUUUUAACGCGUGUUGAGUAUGGUUUUGCAUUUACAAAUAGAAGAAUCAUUAAUGAUCCAAGACCAAGUUCUUGAUAAUAACUUUUUACUUGAAAAACACAUGUCAGACACAAUUUAUUUUUUGUGGGAGAAGGGGUUCUGGGUUUUGAAGACUCCAUUUUUUAUUAAUUGGCAAGCAUCAUUCCAACUCAUGUCACACGCUAAGCUGCACUGAUUCUGAAUGCUGACUGUGAGAAAUCAGAGGCAACUAGACAAACCUGACCAAGGAACUGUUACACUUGCAUGUGGACACGUGUUAUGUAUACUACAUAAAGCACUUUGAUUAAGAUUAGCAUAAUUUAGUAAACGCAUGUAAGUUAGCUCUCUCUUAUAGAACACAUGUUUGUGUGAAAAGCAAUAUAUAUUUUACCUCUGUGCUCGUUUUCUGUGGUAUAAUAAACGACUGCCUGCUAGGCAGUUAAGACAAGUUAACAAUCGCAUCUAUUAAAAUAGAAUAGAAAUCAAUUGAAAUCUAUUUACAGUUAGCUAUAUUAAAAGUUUUAACCGACGAAGG